AGGAUGAACGCUGGCGGCGUGCCUAAUACAUGCAAGUCGAGCGGUAAGGCCACUUCGGUGGUACACGAGCGGCGGACGGCUGAGUAACACGUAGGAACGUACCCCAAACUGAGGCAUAAGCACCAGAAAUGGUGUCUAAUACCGCAUGUGCUCUUCGGAGUAAAGCUUCGGCGGUUUGGGAACGGCCUGCGCAUGAUUAGCUUGUUGGUGAGGUAAUAGCUCACCAAGGCGACGAUCAUUAGCUGGUCUGAGAGGAUGACCAGCCAGACUGGGACUGAGAACGGCCCAGACUCCUACGGGAGGCAGCAGUAGGGAAUUUUCCACAAUGGGCGAAAGCCUGAUGGAGCAACGCCGCGUGCAGGAUGAAUGCCUUCGGGUUGUAAACUGCUUUUAUCUGUGAAGAUUAUGACGGUAGCAGAUGAAGUAAGGAUCGGCUAACUCCGUGCCAGCACGCCGC
rnacentral:rRNA from 1 species